GAUGAACGCUAGCGACAGGCUUAACACAUGCAAGUCGAGGGGCAGCAUAGAAGUAGCAAUACUUUGGUGGCGACCGGUGCACGGGUGAGUAACGCGUAUGCAACCUACCUAUCAGAGGGGAAUAACCCGGCGAACGUUGGACUAAUACCGCAUAAACAGGGGCACCGCAUGGUGGUAGUUGUUAAAGAAAUUCGCUGAUAGAUGGGCAUGCGUGGCAUUGGGUAGUUGGUGAGGGAACGGCUCACCAAGCCGACGAUGGAUAGGGGAACUGAGAGGUUGGUCCCCCACACUGGUACUGAGACACGGACCAGACUCCUACGGGAGGCAGCAGUGAGGAAUAUUGGUCAAUGGGCGAGAGCCUGAACCAGCCAAGUCGCGUGAAGGAAGAAGGAUCUAUGGUUCGUAAACUUCUUUUGCAGGGGAAUAAAGUGCAGGACGUGUCCUGUUUUGUAUGUACCCUGAGAAUAAGGAUCGGCUAACUCCGUGCCAGCCGCCGCCGUAA
rnacentral:rRNA from 1 species